CUGCAUAAUAAAAAUUCUUACUGAGGUAAGAACAAAACGUAAGGAUGAGCUGAACACUGUUGGGUCUGAGCGGCUGCGGGACUGGUGGGUGAGAGAAAACGGCAGGACUGGAGAAAACUUCAGCUACAACACUCGUAUUCAGCUUUACCACCAACCAGUUCCCCGUUGAUUGUUCCUUCAGGGUGUGAUUUUGCUGUUGACUGAUCCAGAAAAAGCCACACAAGGUAGCAGGCAUCUCUGAUUCCAGUGUUACUGUGACAUCGUGGGAAGAAGAGAGAGGAGAAUCCUCAGCAAGAACUUGUGUAUCAUCCCAUUCAAAGAAAGAAUUGCUCAGUUUAUUAAUUUCAUCCACAGCCCCAAUAUUACGAGUAUUUUACAACAAGUGCCUGAAUCAGGCUGGGAAGAUAGCUCAGUCCGUAAAGCACUUGCUGUGCAGCAUGAGGACCCGAGUUCAGAUCCUCAGCACCCCAUAAACACCAGGUGACCAUGGCAGCUCACCUGUAAUCCUAGCACUUAGAAGACAGAACAGGGCGUCCUGGCUAGCCAAACCAACUGUAUCAGUGAGCUCUGGGUUCAAUGGAGAGACUUACCUCAGUGAAUAAGGUCGUGAGCCACUGAUGAAGACUCCCCAAAUCAGCCCAGGGCUUCCACAUGUGCACAUACUCAUGUACCCACAUUUAUACUAACGUGCCCCCACACCAUACACACUGACACAUCUUUAAAAAUGGCUCCGUGAGUAGAGCGUUUGUCACACAGCCUGAGAAGUUUGAUCCCUGGAAUUCACCAGAAGAUGGAAGGGGAGAACCAACUCCACAAAGUCAUCCCCUGAC